rnacentral:lncRNA from 1 species
AAUCCUUGUGAAAUCCUUGUGUGACACUGAUAGGUGUGGGAACAUUUGUGAAGAGACAGUAUCUCAUGUAGCCCAAGUGAGCAUUCACCGUGCAGCUGAGGACAAUCUGGACUUAAUCUCCAACCCUCCUUCUUCCACCUACCAAAUCUGGAACUCCAGUAAUGGACUGGCUACGUUCAAGCUCCUGCCGCUCUGACUUCGCCAACACAAAGGACUGUAUUCUGGAACUCUUCUCCAGGUAUGGUUUGCAACUGGAGCCUGACCCAGACCAGGAAGACAACUUGCACCAUGUUUAUUACCUAUAGAUGCUUCCAAAGAGACUGCAAACAGACCUAGAAAGCCUCACUGCUAUUUCACCAAUAGCCACUGGAGGGCCCCAGACACCAUUCUGAAUCUUUAUGGCAGCCCAUGACCUACACUCUAGAAAUGUUCCACAAGCCCAUUGAUGGGGUAAAGUCACUGCCUGGUGAUCACCCCAGUCUGACACAGCAGCACAAAGCCGGCUUCCAGCACACCAGAAACAUCAUCACUGAGACCACGCAAGACCCUUAACUAGAAAAUCUCCUGGCAAGUUUCAAUGGCUAACCUUUGAAAGUCUUUUGGGUUAGAGACACUGGUGAUAUCCUUAAACAGAGAGGAGUCCCGGCAGGAAAGGACACUUCCAGAAGGCCUGUAGUUGCUGGUCAGUCCAAGAGUUGUGGAGAACUGUCACGACAUGUGCUUCAGAGCUCACCUUAUGUUCACCUCCUCUGAUAUUCAGACUUCCGGCGUCAUCAAGAGAAGAUCUCAUUUCCCCGGACCAGAGGGAAUGCAGUCCCCGUGGCUGCAUCUUUGGCCCUAGACCUCCCAACAGUCCAGAGCUGGGGCCUAUUGUGUUUUAGGACACCUCUGAGGAGAAGAAUCGGGUGAAGGUUACGUGGAGAUGGAGAAGGCACCUAUUCGCCUACCUUAAGGAGAGAGGGAAGCCGCAGGAGCUAGUCUCUUGUAAGAUAUAACCGGGUUUCACAGACAUCAACUUCAUCUCAAAAACUGCAGAUUGUCAUAGCGUUUCUAAAGUCACUUCUCUGGCCCAGACAGGUAUAUGCAAAGAAUAAAUUAGAACUAACACAAAGAGGAAAAAGACUGACAUAGAUGCCAAAAGCUAUAAGGGAAUUCAUCCUACUUUGCUAUUUAAGAAAUCUUGUAUCAGAAACAGUCCAUUUUAGUGUUACACACUGCCAGUAUUUUUCUUGUGUUAACUGUUUAAACCUCCAAAGUAUUUUGCUUACCAUGUUUGUAAAUAAAUGGUUGCCUCCUUCAAUAUGUAAUUUCAAUAAUCCUAUAUCAUGAUUACUGUAAAUAUAAUUGCUCUAGGCAAUGAAAUCUAGUGCUUAGCUAUGUUUUCAUUUUAUCUCAAGAUGUAUUAGUUCAAUAAACACUCCAAAGAA